CUGCGAAUACCGGAGAAUGUUAUCACGGGAGACACACGGCGGGUGCUAACGUCCGUCGUGAAGAGGGAAACAACCCAGACCGCCAGCUAAGGUCCCAAAGUCAUGGUUAAGUGGGAAACGAUGUGGGAAGGCCCAGACAGCCAGGAUGUUGGCUUAGAAGCAGCCAUCAUUUAAAGAAAGCGUAAUAGCUCACUGGUCGAGUCGGCCUGCGCGGAAGAUGUAACGGGGCUAAACCAU
rnacentral:rRNA from 1 species